rnacentral:rRNA from 1 species
AACGGCCGUACCAUGCUGAAUAUACCGGUUCUCGUUAGAUCACCGAAGUCAAGCAUCAUUGAGCGCGGUCAGUACUUGGGUGGGUGACCACCUGGGAACACCGCGUGCCGUU